rnacentral:rRNA from 1 species
GUGUCAGCCGCCGCGGUAAUACGUAGGGAGCAAGCGUUGUCCGGAUUUACUGGGUGUAAAGGGUGCGUAGGCGGCUAUGCAAGUCAGUUGUGAAAACUAUGGGCUCAACCCAUAGCCUGCAAUUGAAACUGCGUGGCUUGAGUGAAGUAGAGGUAGGUGGAAUUCCCGGUGUAGCGGUGAAAUGCGUAGAGAUCGGGAGGAACACCAGUGGCGAAGGCGACCUACUGGGCUUUAACUGACGCUGAGGCACGAAAGCAUGGGUAGCAAACAGGAUUAGAUACCCUGGUAGUCCAUGCCGUAAACGAUGAUUACUAGGUGUGGGGGGUCUGACCCCCUCCGUGCCGGAGUUAACACAAUAAGUAAUCCACCUGGGGAGUACGACCGCAAGGUUGAAACUCAAAGGAAUUGACGG